GCUUGAUUAUAUUGACAGCUUGUAGAGGAAAAAUGCCAAGAAGUGGAAGCCAGAGCUAGGGAGCUUGAUAAAUAGGUUGCUUCUCUUAGAGAAGGUGUAUCCCUAGAAACCAAACUUCUGAGCAGAUUGAACCUAUUCGUAAUCUUUUUGCUGCUCUUUUCCUAGCCAGCAUUGGAAUGUUGAUUCAUGUUCAUUUUCUCUGGAACCAUGUUGACAUUCUGGUAGCAUCUGGUAGUAUCUGGAACUCAUGUUCAUUUUCUCUGGAACCAUGUUGAUUCAUGUUCAUUUUCUCUUCUCAGUCGUGCUUCUAAUCUUUAUCUAGUUGAGGGUAAACUAUAUUUGCUGCUUCUUGGGACCACAUCUCUUAGUCUGGUACGAAACAUUUUUAUAUAUUUGAAUUAACAGCUACAGGGAUCCAUAACUGAUCCAUAAUUGGGGGUUAUAGUCUUGCAGAUUUUGAAAUGCUGUGAACAUGGCAAUAUACACAUAUAGCUGAUAAACUUGGUGCAAAGAAAUGGAUAGGACAAUAAAAACUUCUCUGUCUUUCAAAGAGAUUGUUCUUUCAUUAAAAAGAAAGUUUGAAUUGAAUGUCAAUGUUAGACAAGUUUUGAUGUGGGAAAAAUUAUCUAUUCUUCAAUAUUGAAGUUUACCAAGAUCAAGUAUUUAAGUCUGAAAAACGUAAAGUAUAUCAUAAGCUGUCAUCAGUUUCAAUGCUUUGAAUUCAAUGAUACUGCUAUUAAUUUAUUAUGAAUGCAUAAUCCCAUCAAUAAUUUCUCAGCUAAUUUCUGCAGGUAACAACUCCUUUACUUUACUAUAUGUAGAAUCCCAUCAGAUAUUCAGUCAUAUUUUGCUACAUUUGUAAAAGUAGUUGUGUUCAUGCUUGCUACUUGAAUGGUUUGGGUAAAAGAUUGAAUUUGAUAGAAUAAGAGAAUACUAAUGUGGGUGUAAAAUUAUUUUUUAAACUAACAUCUAAUUAGGUGUUUUAUAUAGUUAAAAGCAACUUCUUUUUGAGAUAUUUGGUGUGAAAAUGAACUGUUUUUCUUUUUUCCUUUUUAAUUUAUCUGUAAGAUCUUAUUGGAUGUAAUACAUGAAAAUUAAAUUAUUAUUCCCGAAUGUCAUCCAUUUUCAUAUCUUUUUGUUUCGUAUUAAAUUUUUGGAUUAAUUCUUCUCCCGCCCCUGUAUUAGUCAAGGGACAUUUAUUUCCUACAAAAGCUUCUGAAUUUGAAAGGACAUGAUGGUUUCAGAAUGAAUGAAGUGCUUGUGUCAUUGUGGUACAUAAUGGGUUUGUGGCCCUUGGCCUAUAGCAUGCUGCUACUUCCUACAGGAAGGAGCUCAAAAAGCAAAGUUCCUAUUUGGCCCUUCCUUUUACUUUCAUGUUUUGGCGGUGCAUAUGCGCUUCUUCCUUAUUUCAUACUUUGGAAUCCACCAGCACCUUCGAUUGAAGAAACUGAGCUUAAAUCAUGGCCAUUGAUCUUUCUUGAAUCAAAAGUAACUGCAGUGAUCGGAUAUAGUAAGGUAGACAUCCUCUGCUCAGAAAGUGGAAAGCAGCGAAUAAUUUUGAUGGACCAAGAAUCUCAAGAGGCAAGUAUAUUGCCAUCAUCACUAAGAAGCUCAAGAAAGAAUGAAGCUAUCCAUAAAUUAGGAUAUUGAAUCUUGAUGAGUCUACUAGUAGUUACUUGUCAUCUAAUGUAUUCAAAUUGUAUUAUUGUAUGGAAAUAAUUGCUUCUUAUUAUAAAGAAAGCGCUUUGUACUCACUGGUGUGUUUUUCUAUUUAUACCAUCAAUAAAAAUUUGUAUUUA